rnacentral:rRNA from 1 species
UACGUAGGGAGCAAGCGUUGUCCGGAAUCAUUGGGCGUAAAGCGCGCGUAGGUGGCCAUGUAAGUCCGUUGUGAAAGUCAAAGGCUCAACCUUCGAAAGCCGAUGGAUACUGCAUGGCUAGAGUACGGAAGAGGCGAGUGGAAUUCCUGGUGUAGCGGUGGAAUGCGCAGAUAUCAGGAAGAACACCCGUGGCGAAGGCGGCUCUCUGGGACGGUACUGACGCUGAGACGCGAAAGCGUGGGGAGCGAACAGG